UUAGCCAUAUCACCUCAACCCACUCAGAUGAACUGAGUAUUCAUUAAUGCUAGAUACUUGUAAAGAAAGGGAAGAGGUUUGCUCAGGACUUUAUUAUAAUGUUGUUGGAUAUAAUUUCCCCCUUUGGAAAGCUUGAGACUAGGCGAACAAUGGCUGGACCUGAAACCAAAGUACACAAUUGGCAUCAAAAAACAAUGAGAACAAUGCAGCAACAAGAAUCAGUCAAUCUGUAAUGACCAUUCAUUGCACCAGUGGAGUUUUUGGUGUCAUCGAUGUGGACUGGAUUUUGUGUUCACUGCUGAGAUUGAAGAGUGAUUAUUCAAACAACACAGGACUCAUGAGCAAAUCAUUACAACCCUUCUUGCACAAUCAGUACAUUUAUAAUAAGAAGAAUGCAACAUGAUCCAUCUCCUGAUUUAACAUUUGGAGGUUCUGCUCACCUUCCUUAACCUGAGGGAUGGAUCAGGAUACCCACAGCGAUCAAUUAAAUGAGAAUGGAAAGAAAAAUUACUGGUAAUGGAAGAAUGCAAAAAAACCUUAGCAGAUCAGCCAGCACCUAACUUAAAAUAAAUGUCUUGACUGUCUAAAACAUUAACCUUCCACUUCCAUAAGUCAAUUCACCUGCCUUAACUUCGCUUGAAUCAAAACUGAAAAGAUAAGAGGCUGAUUACCAAUGGGAUUGGACUCAGGAGGAAUUAUGUUUAUGUAAAGUCAAUUGAAAAA